rnacentral:rRNA from 1 species
UACAUAGGGGCCAAGCGUUGUCCGGAUUUAUUGGGCGUAAAGCAUCCGUAGCCUGUUCUAUAAGUUUCCGGUUUAAUCCAUACGCUCAACGUAUGGGCUGCCGGAAAUACUGCAGAACUAGGGAGUGGGAGAGGUAGACGGUACUCGAUAGGAAGAGGUAAAAUUCUUUGAUCUAUUGAUGACCACCUGUGGCGAAGGCGGUCUACCAGAACACGUUCGACGGUGAGGGAUGAAAGCUGGGGGAGCAAACCGG